GCCGGGACACCCCCCACCCCACCGGCCGGUGUUUCCGAGGAGCAAGCUCCACCCCAGCGCCAUCCCCUUGCCCCCGGGCUGCUUGGGUCACUUGGGUGUGUGGGGAAGGCGCGCGUGGGGGCUUCAGCGCUGCCCCACACCAACUCUUUUCCUCAUGGAAACAGCCCCUGCCAAGCCCGUUUUAUAUAUAGAGGAUGAUCGCGGUUCCCCGGUGAGGCGGGGUGCCAGGUCGGCCACUUCUCGUCCGUGCCGGGCCUGCGGGCCUUUACGGCUAUUUAUACCACUGAUAUACCCAGAUUAAUCUUGCUAUCAUUUGAGUAUCAAGACCAUCAGGAGAACCUAAGUGUUACAUGGAUAUUUUUCUCAUCGUGCCAGAGAUAAGCAAACCCUGCACAUACCUGUGGGCUGAAAUCCUGGCCCCAAUGAAGUUAAAGGCAAAACUGUUGCCUUCAACAGGGCUGAGAUUUCACCCAUGAUGUUGGUACAUCUUUAGAAUCGAGUCAUCCUGUAAGCUGGACAAAAAUGCACA